CCCGCUGAACUUAAGCAUAUCAAUAAGCGGAGGAAAAGAAACUAACAAGGAUUCCCCUAGUAGCGGCGAGCGAAGCGGGAAGAGCUCAAAUUUAUAAUCUGGCACCUUCGGUGUCCGAGUUGUAAUCUCUAGAAGUGUUUUCCGCGUUGGACCGCACACAAGUCUGUUGGAAUACAGCGGCAUAGUGGUGAAACCCCCGUAUAUGGUGCGGACGCCCAGCGCUUUGUGAUACACUUUCAAUGAGUCGAGUUGUUUGGGAAUGCAGCUCAAAUUGGGUGGUAAAUUCCAUCUAAAGCUAAGUAUUGGCGAGAGACCGAUAGCGAACAAGUACCGUGAGGGAAAGAUGAAAAGCACUUUGGAAAGAGAGUUAACAGUACGUGAAAUUGUUGGAAGGGAAACGCUUGAAGUCAGACUUGCUUGCCGGAGCUUGCUUCGGUUUGCAGGCCAGCAUCAGUUUUCCGGGGUGGAUAAUGACGGUUUGAAGGUAGCAGUCUCGGCUGUGUUAUAGCUUUCCGUUGGAUACAUCCUGGGGGACUGAGGAACGCAGCGUGCUUUUUGCGAAAGACUCGUCUUUUUCACGCUUAGGAUGCUGGUGGAAUGGCUUUAAACGACCCGUCUUGAAACACGGACCAAGGAG
rnacentral:rRNA from 1 species